GAAGAGAAAAGACGUCCGGGAGAAGAAGCUCAGCUCUCGUACAAAACCGAUCCAAUCUCUAUACAUCCACCAAGCCAAGAGCAAGAGCAGCACUACGUGCACGUGCAGGUCAGGAGCAAAAUCGGACGAGAUCAAUGGAGGCGAAGCUAUCGUUUUCCUACGGUGAGAAUCAUGGCUGAUAUAGUCAGCCUCUCUCUCUCUUUUUCUUCCUCUCCAUGCAGCAUACACGUCAACCGGUGUCGCUCGCCCUCAUCCUGCACAACCGGGAACGACGACGAAGUGCAGGCGCUGGAGCUGUCGGCGCGCAGCCCAUUGCCAACUUCACCACCCGUGUGUGAGCCUCGACGACAACGUCCGCGAUGAGGCUGUCGGCGCGUAGCAUGGCGCCAUCUCCAUGGCACCCGCGACGACGACGCCCGCGAGGAGGCUGCCGGCAUGCAGCGCGGCGCCAACUCCACCACCCGUGAGUGAGCCUCGACGACGACGCCCGCGAGGAGGCUGCCGGCGUGCAGCGCGGCGCCAUCAACACACCCACGAGCCGCGGCGACGGCGUCCGCGACGAGGCUGCCGGCAUGCAGCGCGACACCAUCAACACAACCACAAGCCGCGAUGCAUCGGAGGCUGAAGGCAGUGACCGAGGAGAGCCACGCGGUCACCAUGCAGGUGCAGCCCUUGGCGUACAGGUCCAGCUCGGCGCUUGACGUACAGGUGCAGCGGGCAACGCGGCGAUAUAGGUCCAGCUCGGCGCUUGACGUACAGGUGCAGCGGGUGACACGACAAUAUAGGUGCAGCUCGGCGCUGGCGGACAGGAGCAGCUCGGCCGUGACCGAUAGGCAUGGCUCGGUUGAUGGUGUACAGCCCAGCGAGCGCACAAGAACAAGCCGACGUACAGGUUCAAGGCGGCACUUGGUGUGCAAAUUAAACCGGCGGAUGGGCGUGGUUCAGCUCGGCGAACAGGUCGUACAGGUUGAAGUGGAUGGAUGAUGGCUCCCGAACACACGUUCACGCUUCACGCAUGUCUCAUGCACAGGACUUGGCGAGUGCGUGCGUGGCCAACAGGAUAACAACCAAGAGCUGCGGAUGCUCGCGGCGUACAGGUCGCCGUGGUGCUGCUUCAUGGACCGCACCACUUCGGGACGCCGCUGGAUGGCGGCUAUGACACCACUUCAUCGUGACCCCGUGAGAUGGCGCCCAAGCUGCGCCGACUGCUGUAUACUCGGCGUUGGACCCAGUCACGGCGCCGACCACACCGGCCAUGCCGACAUGAGCGUGUGUUGGUUUUACACCGACGCCGGUCUCCUGAUAAAAAUACUCUCGCGAGGCGUACCCCUUGCGCACCCCGACGAUGCCGCUAAGUCGUCAAGAAGUCCUAGCUAAACGGACUGCAUCAUGCUACUUCAACAACACUCAUCAUCGCCGAUCAAGACCGACGAGGCGCGACGGCGAGGGCGGGCGAGGCCGCAGCACAGGCCACGCUUACAGCGGCGCGUGUACCGACGAGGACACGGGCUCUGCCGCUGCCCACACACAUCUUCACCACCAUCAUGCAUGCAGGACGUGAAGAAAAGACGACGAAGACGACCACACGGCUUAAUCGGAGGUGUCUCGCGGCGUAACCCGCGGGAGUAAUUAACCGGGAGCCUUCCGAGACCCCGGGAAUCAGGAGACUGCAAUCGCCCUAGUCAGGCUGGCCGCGCUAGUAGGCCACGGAGCGCAACACAUGGGAAUUGUAUUUGUUAACUAUAUGAUUAAUGAAAUACUGUUCCCGCA